rnacentral:rRNA from 1 species
GACGAACGCUGGCGGCGUGCUUAACACAUGCUAGUCGAACGGAAAGGCCCUGCUUUUGUGGGGUGCUCGAGUGGCGAACGGGUGAGUAACACGUGAGUAACCUGCCCUGGACUAUGGGAUAACUUCAGGAAACUGGGGCUAAUCACGGAUAGGAGCACCUGAUGCAUGGAGGGGGUUGGAAAGUUUCGGCGGUAGGGGGGGGACUCGCGGCGUAUCAGCUUGUUGGUGGGGUAGUGGCUAACCAAGGAUUUGACGGGUAGCCGGCCUGAGAGGGUGGCCGGCCACACUGGGACUGGGAUACGGCCCAGCCUCCUACGGGCCGCAGCACCGGGGAAUAUUGCCCUAUGCGCGGAAGCCUGAUGCAGCCACGCCGCCUGCGGGAUGACUGCCUUCGCUUUGUAAUCCGCUUUCGCCUGUUACUAAGCCUGUGUGCCGGUAAUCGGUAAAGAAGCACCGGCUAACUACGUG